GCACCAUUUUUAGGAUAAAAUUCGUAGUUGAAUUGCUUUCUCCCACCGAUAAUAAUUUGACUACCAUCUGGCAAUAUAUGGUUGGUCGCAUACCAUCUUCUUGCAAUAAGCCCAUCUCCCACCUCUACCCAAUCGCAGUCACUGCAUGGCGUGAAAACUCUGAUCCUACGAUCACCGUCAUUGAAACCACCUGUUUGAAUNNNNNNGGACAUUACAGCACCGGAAGAACACCAAACGUCGGUGAGGACCAUAAGAGGCCGAAAUGUG
rnacentral:misc_RNA from 1 species